ACGAACGCUGGCGGCGUGCCUAACACAUGCAAGUCGAGCGGAUUAUUUUGGUGUAGCAAUACAUCGGAAUAAUUAGCGGCGGACGGGUGAGUAACACGUAAAUAAUCUACCUCCGAGACUGGGAUAACCCGCCGAAAGGUGGGCUAAUACCAGAUGAGACUCCGGAAACGCAUGUUUCUGGAAUCAAAGGGAACGCAAGAACCGCUUGGAGAUGAGUUUGCGGCCUAUCAGCUAGUUGGCGGUGUAAAAGACCACCAAGGCAACGACGGGUAGCUGGUCUGAGAGGACGACCAGUCACACUGGAACUGAGACACGGUCCAGACUCCUACGGGAGGCAGCAGUGAGGAAUUUUCCGCAAUGGGCGAAAGCCUGACGGAGCGACGUCGUGUGUGGGACGAAGGUCUUCGGAUUGUAAACCACUGUCAGAGGGGACGAAAUUGACGGUACCCUCAGAGGAAGCCCCGGCUAACUACGU
rnacentral:rRNA from 1 species